CUCUCGCUCUCGCUCUGUCUCUGCAUCUCUUCGUUCUUCUCCCCUGUGGUUGCAGACUUGAAGCAGCAAAGGGUGGUUGCAGACUUGAAGCAGCAAAGGGUUCCACUUUGUGAACAACAGG